UGUAUAUAUAGACUUGUCUUUUACCUUUCGAGACAGUCCAGUCUCUGUUGUCCACUUUUGGGACUUGUACUCAUUUUGUUAGUAGCUCUGUACUAGUGACUUCCAGGUUCUGGGAGAGAUCUUUAUUUGUAUAUAUGUUUUUGGUUUGCUUCCGCCUGUUUAUAUUGUUAUUUGUCUACUCUUGUUUAGUUUCUACCCUCAGA
rnacentral:lncRNA from 1 species